rnacentral:rRNA from 1 species
CCUACGGGAGGCAGCAGUGAGGAAUAUUGGACAAUGGGCGCAAGCCUGAUCCAGCCAUGCCGCGUGCAGGAUGACGGUCCUAUGGAUUGUAAACUGCUUUUAUACGAGAAGAAACACUCCUUCGUGAAGGAGCUUGACGGUAUCGUAAGAAUAAGGAUCGGCUAACUCCGUGCCAGCAGCCGCGGUAAUACGGAGGAUCCAAGCGUUAUCCGGAAUCAUUGGGUUUAAAGGGUCCGUAGGCGGUUUAGUAAGUCAGUGGUGAAAGCCCAUCGCUCAACGGUGGAACGGCCAUUGAUACUGCUAGACUUGAAUUAUUAGGAAGUAACUAGAAUAUGUAGUGUAGCGGUGAAAUGCUUAGAGAUUACAUGGAAUACCAAUUGCGAAGGCAGGUUACUACUAAUUGAUUGACGCUGAUGGACGAAAGCGUGGGUAGCGAACAGGAUUUAGAUACCCUGGUAGUCCACGACCGUAACGAUAGAUACUAGCUGUUGGGUAGGACGAAUACUCAGUGGCGUAAGACGAAAGUAGAGUAAGUAAUACCCACCGUCGGGAGGUACGAACGACGAAGUUAGUAAACGUUAAAAGGUAAAGUUAGUACGGCGUGAGACGUAGACCGAACGGACGACGACGAGGGGAGGUUAGGGAG